UACGAAGGGGGCUAGCGUUGCUCGGAAUCACUGGGCGUAAAGGGUGCGUAGGCGGGUCUUUUAAGUCAGGGGUGAAAUCCUGGAGCUCAACUCCAGAACUGCCUUUGAUACUGAAGAUCUUGAGUUCGGGAGAGGUGAGUGGAACUGCGAGUGUAGAGGUGAAAUUCGUAGAUAUUCGCAGGAACACCAGUGGCGAAGGCGGCUCACUGGCCCGAUACUGACGCUGAGGCACGAAAGCGUGGGGAGCAAACAGGG
rnacentral:rRNA from 1 species